AAAUGCUUAAAGAAUUGACGAUUAAAAAGGAAACGUCAAAUAAAUACACAAGAAAUUAGAAUAUAUGUUCAUUAAUGAUGGACAAGAAAUUACAAAGAGAAAAUCAAAUUACAAAAGAAAAAGGCAUCAUGUGCCUUAAUUACAGUCCACCCCACACUGAACAAAUUCGUUCCCUAAGUUUCGCCCAGUCCUCGUUCUGUCGAGAGGAAGUGAUGUUCAAUU
rnacentral:lncRNA from 1 species